AAACUUUCACCCAAACACACUUUUAAUAUCAACUAUAAUGUAAAUCUAAUAAUAUUAAAAAUGGAUAAAUAUCGAAAUUACACAUAAACUUUGAUUCAAUAUGCAAUUAUACAUGAACUUUGUUUGAUGCAAUUAUACACAUGAAACUUUUUUUGGUGAAUAUUAUAAUAUAGGAAGUUGUUAAUUAGUUAUGAGUCUGGUAAGGUUGUUGAGAAGUUUAGACUAGUCAACAAAGUCUAUAAAUACUGUAAGUUGAGAAUUCAGAAGUAAGCAAUUUUGAAUACAAGAGAAAGAAAUUCAUUUUAUCCUCUCGUUUAUUUCUGUUUGGCUAGUUCUUUCAUGGCAUCAAUCGCCAUUUGAUUCUGGAUCUUGUCUAUCAUGGCUUCCGCUGAUUUCGUAACUGGUGAGUCUAGCUCUGCAGUGUUCUCCGGCGAUCGUGUCACGACCGGUCUUCCUCGGCAUGAAGUGGUUAAGCUUGAUGGAGGCACCUAUAUUCAAUGGCGCAAACAGAUCAAAUUAAUAGUGGAUGGAUAUGGACUUACAGGAUUCUUAGAUGGCACCGUUGUUCCACCGUCGCGGUUUAUGCCUCUGCCCGAUGGUUCGCGUGCUCCAAAUCCGGUAGCACAAGUGUUCCUACAGCAAGAUAGGCUUCUGACUUCAUGGCUGUUAUCAAUUGUAAGUACAUCUCUUCAAUCGUCAUUUGAUGAUGCAUCCACGGCGUGUGAUAUGUGGAACAUGGCGAUAAAUUUGUUUGCGGCUGACACUGGUGCAAAGCAGUCACGCAUUCGGCAUGAGCUUUAUUCUUUGAAGAAAGGUAACCUUUCCAUUAAAGCUUAUGUUGCUAAAAUUAAAGAUCUGUGUGCUAUGUUAGAUGCCUCUGGUUCUCGUCUCUCUGAUGAAGAGAUGAUUGAGGUGAUGCUCGCGGGAUUACCGUCAGAGUUUGAGGCGGUUAUCUCCUCCGCUAGGCUGUCGACAGGUGUUCUGUCGUUACAACGUGUGGUCGAUGCUCUAGUUGAUUGUGAGAGCCGUCAAGCUCAGGUGUUGCAGGAGGUAAGUUUGAAUGCAAAUCUGGUUGAGGAUGCGCCGUCGGUUGAAGGAGGAAAUCGUGGCGACCGUACGUCUGUUCGUGGCCGUGGCAGGACCUUCCGAUCUCGCAUUCAAUGCCAGAUCUGCAGUCGUUUUGGUCAUGUAGCUCAGAAGUGCUACUAUCGUUAUCAUAGAGAGUCGAAUAAUCAAGGGGAUCCGUCGGGUGUUGAGAGAGCCGCAUUUGGACCAUGUGCGCAAGAAGAAGAUGAGCAGUAUGUGGCUCCUUAUCCCAAAAGCCAAAGAACAAUUUAUGGAGAAGGGAACUAUGCAAGUCAAAAUAGGAAUGGUGGUCAAAAUUGGAGUGCUAGCAUGCAGAGUGAAAAUUUAGCACGUGGGCCACAGGUGUCAUAUCCAAAAGAGUAUGGCCGGCCAUAUGGAAAUCAUUUUAAGCCAAAUUUGCGUCAGUUUGGACAUGAUAAUAGGCCUGGUUUUAAUGGCGAUGGGACUAAUGGAAAUGCCUCAUUGAAUUUUAUUGCUGGAAAUGGACGGUGUGGGUUGCAAGGGCCGAAUGUGGUAAAUUCCACUCAUGGGCCGAAUAUUGACCCAAAUGCAAAUGGGGUUCCAUCGUCUAAUUUUGUUCAAGUUGAUCAAAGUGAUCCCGGCUCACCUAAACCGUUUGGCGUUGAUAGAGUUUUACGAUUUACCAAACCGCGUGCUCGGGUUUGUACUGGGUUCGAACCAUGUAUUGGGCUUCCUCGGCUAGGGGACUUACAUGCAUCUGAUUAUUCUGAUCCUUCAGAAUCUGGCUCUCAUGUCCAUACUGCUCAACUUGGGUUUGGUACUAGUAAAGAUGACCCAUACGUUCCAGUGCAAGGUGGCACCACAACUUGGUAUCCUGAUUCGGGAGCUAGUCAUCAUGUCUGUCGUGAUGUGUCAGCUUUACGUGAUGUCAUGCCAUAUUCAGGUACGUCAUCUCUUUUAAUGGGUGAUGGUACUCCUGCGGUAAUUUCGUCAAUUGGUACUGCUAUUUUACAUACUCAAUAUAAGUCGUUGCGAUUAUCAAAUGUCUUAUGUGUGCCAAGUAUACGGAAAAACCUCUUAUCCGUCUCACAGUUUGCUCGUGAUAAUGGUGUGUUUUUUGAGUUUCAUCCUAACCAUUAUGUUAUUAAGGAUACGGUGACUCGAGAGACAUUGCUGACGGGCCGCAUUCAUGAUGGACUUUAUCACUUUUCUGUGCCAGUGGGUUCUACUCCAUCUACGGUUGCUCCAUUUGUUGCUCAUUCGCAAGUUCCACAUGUAGUUUCAAAUAAUAAUGUGUUUGCUUUAUGGCAUAAUCGUUUAGGCCACCCAUCAACUUCUGUGGUCAAAACAGUUUUAAAUAAAUGUAAUGUUGCUUUAAGUAAAAAUAGUUUGGAUGGUAUAUGUACUGCAUGUCAAAAAGGCAGGUCACAUAAGUUGCCCUUCUCCCCUUCGACUACUAGCUACCGUCCUUUUGAGUUGGUUGUUUCUGAUCUUUGGGGUCCUGCACCUGUUGCAUGUGGUGAUAAAAGAUAUUAUGUUUCGUUUAUUGAUAUGUGUACUCGGUUUACUUGGGUUUAACUUUUACGUCAAAAAGCUCAAGUACUAGAAUGCUUUACUCAGUUUCAACAGUUAAUUAAGACAUAGUUUGGCAAGUCUAUUAAGCAGUUCCAGAGCGAUUGGGGAGGAGAAUACCGUGGUUUUACGUCUGUCUUAGAAUCUCAAGGAAUCAUACAUCGACUAACGUGUCCGUAUACUUCAGAACAAAAUGGAGUGGCUGAGCGUAAGCAUCGCCACAUUGUUGAAGUGGGUAUUACAUUGUUGGCUCACGCAAGUUUGCCUCUGGAAUACUGGGGGUAUGCGUUUUGCUGUGCAAUUCAUAUUAUAAAUCGACUUCCUACUGUUGUACUUCAAGACAGUUCUCCGUUUAAGGCACUAUAUGAACAUGAUCCGACCUAUGACCAUCUUCGAGUGUUUGGCUGCUGUUGUUAUCCUUACUUACGUCCGUUUGUAAGGAAUAAAUUGGACUUUCGGUCUCAGCCGUCUACAUUGUUGGGAUACAGUCCUCGUCACAAGGGGUAUCAAUGUCUUUUACCAGAUGGUAAGGUUAUAAUAUCAAGGCAUGUGGUAUUUGAUGAACAGAGAUUUCUGUUUGCUGAGACUAUUCCAGACAAGUCUAUGUUGACGACCACUCAGACUAGUUCGACUGUUGUUCCUCUCGUGUGGCUGUCUUAUUCCUCAACUCUUGAGCCUUGCAUGAUGACACAGUCUUUACAAGGGUUACAAUCUCUGUCUGCUGAUCCUGCAUUAGGUGUUAAUUUAGAGCAGUCUCAGUCUCGUGAUUCUUCAGCUGAUGUCGGGACUGGGUCGGGUAAUCUCCCAGUUCAUGGUUCGUCAGCUAAUGAUGGGACUGAAUUGAGUGAUCCUCCAGCAGUGCAUGGCUCGGGAUCAUCAAGUGAUAAUUCUCAUUCUACUAUGAGAAUGUCUGCAGGUGUUUCAUCGGCAUCUGAUAGUCAGAUUAGUAGGCCACCUAUGGGUAAUACUCACCCAAUGGUCACUCGAGCUAAAGCGGGGGUUUACAAGCCUAAGGUUUUAAAUGUUGAAGCUGUUGAACCGACUACGAUUGAAGAAGCUCUGGCUACUGUUGAGUGGCGCGAUGCUGCGCAAGCUGAGUAUGAUGCUCUUAUGCGUAAUUCCACAUGGGAGCUUGUUCCCACUCCGUCUAAUCGUAAGAUCAUUGGGUGCAAAUGGUUGUUCAGAAUCAAGAAGAAUUCUGAUGGUACUAUUGCUCGACAUAAGGCUCGUUUAGUCGCGAAAGGAUGCUCCCAAGUUCCAGGUUGUGACUUUAAGGAAACAUUUAGUCCAGUGGUCAAACCGGCUACUAUCAAAGUUAUUUUCGCUAUUGCUGUGUCUAAGGGGUGGUUGCUUCGGCAAGUUGAUGUGAAUAAUGCGUUUCUAAAUGGCGAUCUGGACACUGAAGUUUUUAUGCAUCAACCUCCUAGUUAUGUUCAAUAUGACUCACAUGGUAGACCUUUGAUGUGUCGUCUGAAGAAAGCGUUGUAUGGUCUUCGUCAGGCUCCUCGUGCCUGGUUUGAAAAGUUAAAAGGAUUUCUACUCUCUGUGGGGUUUGUGGUAUCCAAGUCUGAUGCUUCUUUGUUUGUUCGAGUGGUAUCAGCUUCAACAUUGUAUGUUCUGGUAUACGUUGAUGAUAUCAUUAUUACUGGUGAUGUGCCUUUUGUUAUAGAGUGGUUUGUUAAGUUGCUGAAUAAUAAGUUCUCACUUAAGGACAUGGGUGAUCUCCAUUAUUUUCUUGGGAUAGAGGUUACUUGUUCUUCCUCCAGUUGUCUUCAUCUAUGUUAGAAGAAGUAUAUUCGUGAUAUUCUCAUGAGGUGCUCGAUGGAAAAUGCGAAGAAUGUUCACACUCCGAUGAUUAGUUCCUCUAUCUUAACUAGAGAUGGUGGGGAACGUUUGGAGGAUCCAACUGAAUAUAGGAGUCUUGCAGGAGCAUUACAGUAUGUUACUCUUACGCGGCCUGAUGUUGCGUAUGCUGUAAAUUGAAUAUGUCAGUUUAUGCAUUGUCCCACUUCCAUACAUAUGACCGCUCUGAAGCAGAUUUUGAGGUAUCUAGGUGGAACGAUUGAUUUUGGGAUUGUAUUUCGUCCGUCUACCUGUUUGUCAUUAGUUGGGUAUGCUGAUGCAAACUGGGGUUUAGAUUUUGAUGACCGGAGAUCUACUACUGGAUACUGUGUGUAUUUUGGACAUUCUCCUGUCUCGUGGUGUACGAAAAAACAACAGGUUGUUGCUCGGUCUACUGCUGAGGCAGAGUACCGAAGUCUUGCUGCAGUUACUAGUGAGGUUACGUGGCUUUUAUCGUUACUUCAAGAGUUGCAUGUUCAGUCUACUAGCAUUCCUGAUAUUUGGUGUGAUAGUUCUGGGGCGGUUGCAGUUGCUGCUAAUCCUGUUCUUCAUUCCAAGUUUAAGCACGUUGAGUUAGAUUUAUUUUUUGUUCGUGAAAAAGUAGCUAAUGGUAUUAUUGCUGUUGGCGAGGUUCCAGCUUGUGAUCAAGUUGCUGAUGUUCUUACUAAACCGCUUUCACUUUCGAAUUUUACUCGAUUUCGGAGUUUUCUACAGGUGUUACCUGUGGAUAAGAUGGAUGAAUAUUAGAAUAUAGGAAGUUGUUAAUUAGUUAUGAGUCUGGUAAGGUUGUUGAGAAGUUUAGACUAGUCAACAAAGUCUAUAAAUACUGUAAGUUGAGAAUUCAGAAGUAAGCAAUUUUGAAUACAAGAGAAAGAAAUUCAUUUUAUCCUCUCGUUUAUUUCUGUUUGGCUAGUUCUUUC
rnacentral:lncRNA from 1 species